rnacentral:rRNA from 1 species
UUGAAUAUAAAGAAAAGACGAACAGCUCAGUAACUCUUAUUUUAUUUGAUGUAUUAGGAUAAUAACUAUGUUAAAUUAUAGAUAAUAAUAAUACAAUAAGAAUAAGAUCUAUCAGUUAGUUGUUAAGGUAAUGGCUUAACAAGACUAUGACGGAUAACGGUAUUACUUUGUAAUAUUCCGGAGAAGGAGCCUGAGAGAUUGCUACUAAGUCUAAGGAUUGCAGCAGGGGCGAAACUUGACCUAUGAUAUUAUAUUGAGGCAGUUAUGAGUAGUAUUUUUAAUUAUUGUAAUAUUGUAAGUAUAUAUUACAAGAUAAAUCGGAGGGCAAAUCGAGUGCCAGCAGCCGCGGU